rnacentral:lncRNA from 1 species
UAAUUUUUGUGACUUGCACACUUCAUAGAACUAAUGAAAGGAUUAACAUCUGAAAAUCUUAAUUUCCUAAUGCCCCGUACGGCAGUCUGAUUAAAAAUGGCAUUUCAAUUACAUGGACUUAAUAAAAUUUUGUCUUAACAGUUCUCAUUUAGAUUUUGGACCCAUAGCUAGCCAAAAUUGAUGUUAAUGUGCAAAAUUGAUAGAUGACCAUCAUGUUUCUAAGGAUGUAGAGAAGAUGGAAUAAUC